GACGAACGCUGGCGGCGUGCUUAACACAUGCAAGUCGAACGGAAAGGCCCUGCUUUUGUGGGGUGCUCGAGUGGCGAACGGGUGAGUAACACGUGAGUAACCCGCCCUUGACUUUGGGAUAACUUCAGGAAACAGGGGCUAAUACCCGAUAGGAGCUCCUGCUGCAUGGUGUGGGUUGGAAAGUUUCGGCGGUUGGGGAUGGACUCGCGGCUUAUCAGCUUGUUGGUGGGGUAGUGGCUUACCAAGGCUUUGACGGGUAGCCCGCCUGAGAGCGUGACCGGCCACAAUGGGACUGAGAUACGGCCCAGACUCCUACGGGAGGCAGCAGUGGGGAAUAUUGCACAAUGGGCGGGAGCCUGAUGCAGCAACGCCGGGUGCGGGAUGACGGCCUUCGGGUUGUAAACCGCUUUCGCCUGUGACGAAGCGUGAGUGACGGUAAUGGGUAAAGAAGCACCGGCUAACUACGUG
rnacentral:rRNA from 1 species